rnacentral:rRNA from 1 species
GACGAACGCUGGCGGCGUGCUUAACACGUGCAAGUCGAACGGAAAGGCCCUGCUUUUGUGGGGUGCUCGAGUGGCGAACGGGUGAGUAACACGUGAGUAACCUGCCCUUGACUUUGGGAUAACUUCAGGAAACUGGGGCUAAUACCGCAUAGGAGCACCUGCUGCAUGGUGGGGGUGGGAAAUUUUCGGUGGUUGGGGUUGGACUCUCGGCUUAUCAGCUUGUGGGUGGGGUAGUGGCUUACAAAGCCUUUGCCGGGUAGCCGACCUGGGAGGGUGACCGGUCACAUUGGGACGGAGGUACGGCCGAGCCUACUACUGGAGGCAGCAGUGGGGAAUAUUGCACAAUGGGCGGAAGCCUGAUGCAGCAAGGCCGCGUGCGGGAUGAAGGCCAUCGUGUUGUAAACCGCGUCCGCCUGUGACGAAGCGUGAGUGACGGUAAUGGGUAAAGAAGCACCGGCUAACUACGUG